rnacentral:rRNA from 1 species
GACAGAGGAGACAAGCGUUGUUCGGAAUCACUGGGCUUAAAGCGCGCGUAGGCGGCCCGUUAAGCGUCUCGUGAAAUCCCACGGCUCAACCGUGGAACUGCGAGGCGAACUGGCGGGCUUGAGGUUGGUAGGGGUGCCUGGAACUCUAGGUGGAGCGGUGAAAUGCGUAGAUAUCUAGAGGAACGCCUGAGGCGAAAGCGGGGCACUGGGCCAAUUCUGACGCUGAGGCGCGAAAGCGUGGGGAGCAAACAGG